rnacentral:rRNA from 1 species
AUGCAAGUCGAACGAGAAAUCUCCUGCUUGCAGGAGAGAGUAAAGUGGCGAACGGGUGAGUAACGCGUGGGUAAUCUACCUUCGAGUCUGGAAUAACAUUGCGAAAGCGAUGCUAAUACCGGAUAGCAUCCUGCGACUACGGUCGUCGGGAUUAAAGGUGGCCUCUACAUGUAAGCUACUGUUCGGGGAUGAGCCCGCGUGCCAUUAGCUUGUUGGUGGGGUAACGGCCUACCAAGGCAACUAUGGCUAGCUGGUCUGAGAGGAUGAUCAGCCACACUGGAACUGAGACACGGUCCAGACUCCUACGGGAGGCAGCAGUGAGGAAUCUUGCGCAAUGGGGGAAACCCUGACGCAGCAACGCCGUGUGAGUGAUGAAGGCUUUCGGGUCGUAAAGCUCUGUCAAGUGGGAAGAACCUGCCGGAUGCCAAUACCAUCCGGCACUGACGGUACCACUGGAGGAAGCACCGGCUAACUCCGUG